rnacentral:rRNA from 1 species
UACGAAGGGGGCUAGCGUUGUUCGGAAUCACUGGGCGUAAAGGGCGCGUAGGCGGCUAGAUAAGUCGGGGGUGGAAGCCUGUGGCUCAACCACAGAAUUGCCUUCGAUACUGUCUGGCUUGAGACCGGAAGAGGUUAGUGGAACUGCGAGUGUAGAGGUGAAAUUCGUAGAUAUUCGCAAGAACACCAGUGGCGAAGGCGGCUGACUGGUCCGGUACUGACGCUGAGGUGCGAAAGCGUGGGGAGCAAACAGG